rnacentral:rRNA from 1 species
CCUACGGGAGGCAGCAGUGGGGAAUAUUGGGCAAUGGAGGAAACUCUGACCCAGCGACGCCGCGUGCGGGAUGAAGGCCUUCGGGUUGUAAACCGCUUUCAGCAGGGAAGAAGCGAAAGUGACGGUACCUGCAGAAGAAGCACCGGCUAACUAUGUGCCAGCAGCCGCGGUAAUACAUAGGGUGCAAGCGUUGUCCGGAAUUAUUGGGCGUAAAGAGCUCGUAGGUGGUUCGUCACGUCGGAUGUGAAAAUCUGGGGCUUAACCCCAGACCUGCAUUCGAUACGGGCGAGCUUGAGUAUGGUAGGGGAGUCUGGAAUUCCUGGUGUAGCGGUGGAAUGCGCAGAUAUCAGGAGGAACACCAAUGGCGAAGGCAGGACUCUGGGCCAUUACUGACACUGAGGAGCGAAAGCGUGGGGAGCGAACAGGAUUAGAUACCCUGGUAGUCCACGCCGUAAACGGUGGGCACUAGUUGUGGGGACCUUCCACGGUCUCUGCGACGCNGCUACGCAUAGUGCCCGCCGUCGGGAGGUACGAGCGCGAGAAGUAAACUACUAAUUAGAAGUUAGUUACGGCGUGAGACGNGCCGACGGACGACGACGAGGGAGGAGG